rnacentral:rRNA from 1 species
UACGAGGGGGGCAAGCGUUGUUCGGAAUUAUUGGGCGUAAAGGGUGCGUAGGCGGUUUGACAAGUCUGAUGUGAAAUCUAUGGGCUCAACCCAUAGUCUGCAUCGGAAACUGUCGGGCUGGAGUUUGGCAGAGGGGGGUAGAAUUCCACGUGUAGCAGUGAAAUGCGUAGAUAUGUGGAGGAACACCGAUGGCGAAGGCAGCCCCCUGGGUCAAAACUGACGCUCAUGCACGAAAGCGUGGGGAGCAAACAGG